AACGAACGCUGGCGGCAUGCCUAACACAUGCAAGUCGAACGAGACCUUCGGGUCUAGUGGCGCACGGGUGCGUAACGCGUGGGAACCUUCCCUUAUGUUCGGAAUAACUCUCCGAAAGGGGUGCUAAUACCGGAUAAUAUCUUCUGACCAAAGAUUUAUCGCCUUUGGAUGGGCCCGCGUUGGAUUAGCUAUUUGGUAGGGUAAAAGCCUACCAAGGCGACGAUCCAUAGCUGGUCUGAGAGGAUGAUCAGCCACACUGGGACUGAGACACGGCCCAGACUCCUACGGGAGGCAGCAGUGGGGAAUAUUGGACCAUGGGCGAAAGCAUGAUCCAGCUAUGCCGCGUGAGUGCUGAAGGCCUUAGGGUUGUAAAGCUCUUUUAACCGGGAUGAUAAUGACAGUACCGGGAGAAUAAGCUCCGGCUAACUCCGUG
rnacentral:rRNA from 1 species